rnacentral:rRNA from 1 species
UGGGGAUUAUUGGACAAUGGGCGAAAGCCUGAUCCAGCCAUGCCGCGUGUGUGAAGAAGGCCUUUUGGUUGUAAAGCACUUUAAGCGAGGAGGAGGCUACUUAGAUUAAUACUCUAGGAUAGUGGACGUUACUCGCAGAAUAAGCACCGGCUAACUCUGUGCCAGCAGCCGCGGUAAUACAGAGGGUGCGAGCGUUAAUCGGAUUUACUGGGCGUAAAGCGUGCGUAGGCGGCUUUUUAAGUCGGAUGUGAAAUCCCUGAGCUUAACUUAGGAAUUGCAUUCGAUACUAGGAAGCUAGAGUAUGGGAGAGGAUUGUAGAAUUCCAGGUGUAGCGGUGAAAGGCGUAAAGAACUGGAGGAAUACCGAUGGCGAAGGCAGCCAUCUGGCCUAAUACUUACGCUAAGGUACGAAAGCAUGGGGAGCAAACAGG